CCCGCAAUUGAAGUAGAACAAUACACGGAGACAGAGGUGUGCAAAUUAAGACCACCGAACAAGGCGGGUAAGAGACGGAGGUACAUCUGAGGAUUAUAAUGUACAAAGUCACUUGCGCUAUCCCUGGCUUUUCAGUCAUGAUUUCUGAUGUUCAAAUGUGUUUGAAACUUACCACCAGAGGGUCAUGAGCAGGUGAUGUGCUGCACCAGUGUUUAGGUAAGUGUCUCAAUCCUCAAAUUACAUUUCCUUUUAGGUCAUUGGGUCAUGUUCUGCACCAGUGUUUGGUGUAAGAUCAUGCCUGGUUGAAGAUGGAAGUACAGGUCAUGUAACAUUUAAAGACUGAAGAAAUUUACCAGAUGUAGGUACUGGUUGACUCUACAAUGUAGACGCGUGGUCUCAGUUUAUGCUGCAGUAUGGAUUCUAGAAGAGCAGAAGUGACUUCAGCACAGAAUUAAGGUUCUGCUGUUUUAGACUGGGAAAACUGCAGUGCACAAACCAUGCUAGAUUAAGGCCGGUGACUGGUCAUGGAUCUUAUAGGGCAUAACUUGCAGAAGAUGCUGGAAACAUUAAGGUGUGGAGUUAAAACAAACCUUCCAUGAUUGAUCAGUUGCUUGGCUCUACUGAAGAAACUCCUGAAGGCUCAUAAAGCUGUCCACAUUCCUAAGGCAUUAUACUUUAUGAGAAGGUGAGUUGAUAUCCAGUGCGUGUGAAGAUCCAAUACUAGUUCCUGUGGAGCAGAUGCAUAGAACUACCUGACACGACUUUUUGCUAAAAAAAACCUUGUUCUGAAACUUUAAAUAAAAUAUUUGACUUCUGAAACAGUUA